GGGCAAAAAGGAAACAAACAAAGCAAACAACAGAACAUGCCGCCACUAUCCCAGUACAAACAGAAAAAUCAAGAAAACCCAACAAACCAACCAAAAACAUCUAGAAGGCAAAGGAAGGAAAGAAAAAUAACCCCAAAACCGCAGCAACCAAGAAAACACAUGGAAGCCAAAACUUUCCAAUGCCCAAAGGUAGACCAAGACGCGUAGGACGGUGGAUAGGUCAAGGAUGAAGCAGGUAAAAAAUACAGGGAUACUGAUUCGAAGAACCAUAGAAGGGCAAAGAGCUAAUGGGAGGGUCGACCCACCACCUAUUAGCAGCAACUGCCGAUUCAACCUCCAACGGAACCUCCUCUACCCAAAAUUGAUCAUGUGCCCAUCGAAAUCCUAGAGACGCAAGCAGAGCUUUCGAAUGACAUGCAACGAAUCCCCAUUAAAAACAACUCUUUGCAGGCCGAGGUCAUAAGCAAAAUCCACAAACCAAACAAAAGUCAAUGCUUUUGCAACGAAAGCGGAGAAGACAUGGCGAUGAAGUUGUGUGCAUGCACCCAACACCUGGCCAUGGCAGUCACGCACAACCACACCAAAGCAUGAUGUGCAGUCACAUCCCUUGUACAUAGCGUUGAAGUUUUCCUUUACCAAAGGCUCAAUCGUAGGGUGCCACUGCUCGGCAAGCGAACCUACUAAAACCCCAGCAGUCAUAUCGAGGGUAGACAGAUCUCGGAGAUGCGAACGAAUAAAUGAGAUGACCUCCAAAGAAGUAUGGUGAAGCCCAUCAUGGUGCCCACAGUUCCUCCUCAUCUAGAGAACCCAAAUCGUAGCCAAGUAAUUUGCAGGUUUUCCCACACCGAAGCUGCUAAAGGGUAAUCCCGUAUGACAUGGAAGUCAUCUCAAGUACGGUUCAACAUUUAGGAUAAUACUGAGUUGGAGAAAUGCACUUGUUGUACAGGUUAAAGAAAGUAGGGACAUAGUUUUGGAAGAAACGCCAAGUUGUAAUCUGCACUUUAGGUGGGACUCUAGCCUUCCACAAGGUUGUAUACAGAUCCCUAGAACACGUAGGAGGGUUGCGGGUAGUAUGGGAAUAGGUCAAAUGUGUAGACGGUAGGAGCAUUUUGUUACCACUACGGACUGUAUAGCAACCCGUAGGAUCCCCCUUCCAAACAAGCAUGUCAUCACUAGCCAAGCGUGAAAAAGGAAUACUCAAGAUCCGACUAGCUUCAUUUUCAGAAAUCAUGGAUCGUACCAAGUUGCCACUACUUGGAAGCUAGCAAUCAUUCCAAAUCGAAAUGGAUCAUCCAUUGCCCAGCCGCCAUCCAAGGCCCUUCUCUAACAAACCCCGAGAGUUCUAGAUGUUCCACCAAGUAAAAGAUGGGUAAGACCCUAAACUCGCUUGCAAAAAAUCCAAAGUAGGGAAAUAUUUGACUU